rnacentral:rRNA from 1 species
CACACCGCCUGUCACACCAUGGGAGUGGGUUGCACCAGAAGUAGCUAGUCUAACCUUCGGGAGGACGGUUACCACGGUGUGAUUCAUGACUGGGGUG